UACGGAGGAUCCGAGCGUUAUCCGGAUUUAUUGGGUUUAAAGGGUGCGUAGGCGGUCGGGUAAGUCUGAUGUGAAAUCUCACAGCUUAACUGUGAAACUGCAUUGGAUACUAUCCGGCUCGAGGAAUGGAGGGGAGACUGGAAUACUUGGUGUAGCAGUGAAAUGCGUAGAUAUCAAGUGGAACACCAGUGGCGAAGGCGAGUCUCUGGACAUUUCCUGACGCUGAGGCACGAAAGCCAGGGGAGCAAACGGG
rnacentral:rRNA from 1 species